rnacentral:snRNA from 1 species
AUAUUUGCUGAAUGACUGAGUGUUAGAACAUGAGGAAACACUCUACUUAAUAUUCAGUAAAUGGGUGACUGAGUCAUUAAGAAAGGGAAUUAUACCCCAAAUGUGGGAAACUCGAUUGCAUAAUUUGUGGUAGUGGGAGACUGUGUUCAUGCUUCCCCCGG